UUUGCAAUAUAAUUGAGCCUCUCUCAGUGAAAAUGAGACUUAAUGCAUGUGCUUAAACUAUAUGCAGUCUGCCAUACCACAAAAGUUUAAAGUGUUGUCCCUGCUUAACCAGUGCAGACUGCACAUGCUAAUAUGGGACGGCUACGGACAUGCAUUAAGCCCCAUUUUGUCUGAGCGAGUCUUAGUGAAGUGCAAGUGCUUGUAAACUAUUAUGGCUGCUCACUUCGUUAUGAUCUUUAGUUUAAUUCUAUUUACUUAAGCUUGGUUGCUAUGAAAGCCUAAGGCUUAUUUGAAACACUCUUGAGUCUUUUUCCUGGGACUAGCACCAGAACUUGGUGUCUUUAGGGGAGAUCUAAAGAACUCCUACUGUAGGGAUCUAACCCAUGACCGCCUGGUCGCUAGAUGGACACCAUAGCCUGUUAGUUUUGCUCUUGGAACUGGCAUGCUCAGAAUUUCUAAUUUCUGUCUUAAUAUUCUGUAUACAAGACAGUGGUGAUUAUAUUUAACCAGGUUUUCCGAAGGAAAAAACUGGUUAUUAGAUUGGCGAAUGCGGGCGGGCUGGCUGGCGGGCUGGCUGGCGGGCUGGCGGAAUAAGCUUGUCCGGGCCAUAACUAUGUCGUUCAUUGUCAGAUUUUAAAAUCAUUUGGCACAUUUGUUCACCAUCAUUGGACAGUGUGUCGCGCGAAAUAAUAACGUCGAUAUCUCCAAGGUCAAGGUCACACUUUGAGUUCAAAGGUCAAAAAUGGCCAUAAAUGAGCUUGUCCUGGCCAUAACUAUGUCAUUCAUUGUGAGA